UACGUAGGGGGCAAGCGUUGUCCGGAUUUAUUGGGCGUAAAGAGCUCGUAGGUGGUUCGGUAAGUCGGAUGUGAAAUCUCCAGGCUCAACCUGGAGGGGUCAUUCGAUACUGCCGUGACUAGAGGUCGGUAGGGGAGUGUGGAAUUCCUGGUGGAGCGGUGAAAUGCGCAGAUAUCAGGAGGAACACCCGUAGCGAAGGCGGCACUCUGGGCCGAUACUGACACUGAGGCGCGACAGCGUGGGGAGCAAACAGG
rnacentral:rRNA from 1 species